rnacentral:rRNA from 1 species
UACGUAGGCAGCAAGCGUUGUUCGGAAUUACUGGGCGUAAAGCGUGUGUAGGCGGUUGGGUAAGUCUGGUGUGAAAUCUCCCGGCUCAACUGGGAGGGUGCGCCGGGAACUGCCUGGCUGGAGUGCGGAAGAGGAGAGUGGAAAUUCCCGGUGUAGCGGUGAAAUGCGUAGAUAUCUGGAGGAAUACCGGUGGCGAAGGCGGCAUCCUGGACCGGCAUUGACGCUGAUGAGCGAAAGCUAGGGGAGCAAACAGG